UACGGGAGGCAGCAGUGGGGAAUAUUGCACAAUGGGCGAAAGCCUGAUGCAGCUAUGCCGCGUGUAUGAAGAAGGCCUUAGGGUUGUAAAGUACUUUCAUCGGGGAGGAAAAACAAAACUAAUAAUUUUAUUUCUUGACGUUACCCGAAAAAGAAGCACCGGCUAACUCCGUGCCAGCAGCCGCGGUAAUACGGAGGGUGCUAGCGUUAAUCAGAAUUACUGGGCGUAAAGAGCACGUAGGUGGUUUUUUUAAGUCAGAUGUGAAAUCCCUGGGCUUAACCUAGGAACUGCAUUUUGAAACUGAAAUACUAGAGUAUCGUAGAGGGAGGUAGAAUUCUAGGUGUAGCGGUGAAAUGCGUAGAUAUCUGGAGGAAUACCUGUGGCGAAAGCGGCCUCCUAAACGAAUACUGACACUGAGGUGCGAAAGCGUGGGGAGCAAACGAGGAUUAGACUACC
rnacentral:rRNA from 1 species